rnacentral:misc_RNA from 1 species
GUAGGUGAACCUGCGGAAGGAUCAUUAUUGAAUAUUCUUGAUGGGUUGUAGCUGGCUCUCCGGGGCAUGUGCACACUUGUCUUGACUUUAUUCGUCCACCUGUGCACCUUUUGUAGUCUUGGGGGUUGAGAGCAAGUCGACUAUCGGAUGGCUAUGGCCUUUCCGGACGUGAGGAUUGCUGAGUGCGAAAGCAUACAGCUCUUCUCAAAUGACUUGUAAAACCUCUCCCUCGAGUACUAUGUAUUCAUAUACCACAUAGUAUGUUGUAGAAUGUGAUCAAUGGGCCUAUGUGCCUAUAAUAAUAAUAUACAACUUUCAGCAACGGAUCUCUUGGCUCUC